CUGACCUCAGAUCAGGCGAGACCACCCGCUGAGUUUAAGCAUAUCACUAAGCGGAGGAAAAGAAACUAACAAGGAUUCCCUUAGUAGCGGCGAGCGAACCGGGAAGAG
rnacentral:rRNA from 1 species